UACGUAGGGUGCGAGCGUUGUCCGGAAUUAUUGGGCGUAAAGAGCUCGUAGGCGGUCUGUCGCGUCGGUCGUGAAGACUUGGGGCUUAACCCUGAGCUUGCGGUCGAUACGGGCAUGACUGGAGUUCGGCAGGGGAGACUGGAAUUCCUGGUGUAGCGGUGAAAUGCGCAGAUAUCAGGAGGAACACCGGUGGCGAAGGCGGGUCUCUGGGCAGUAACUGACGCUGAGGAGCGAAAGCGUGGGUAGCAAACAGG
rnacentral:rRNA from 1 species